AAGCUUGUUGCUGCGUGAACGCGUCCUUCCUUCGUGCAAACACUAGUGUGUGGACGUGGGGACGAAUGGAUUAGCCCUGACUUCCCUACCAUUGGCGGUCAAAGUGGCCCCGACUCGGGACGACGAUUGACGGGGAUCAAGGGACUGCCCAUUCUGUGCCUGUAAGGACGGAUUCGUGCCAGAGAAACUCAUCAAGUGGAGGCGGAGAAUAAAGCCCGCGCGGGGCUUGUCAAUGCGACCAUUGCUUUGAUGGGAGGCUCGGCAAGGUGACACAUUUCUGAACUCCAUCCUCUUUUCAAACUAACUCCCUACCUCCUUGUUAGUGGCCGGCUCUGAACUUCUGCAGAGUGUUUUUGUGUGAGUCAAGGCUCAUUCACGGGCGCCUUUGUGGGCCUCUCCUCCUUUCAGGCCUCAGCGUGUUACACCAAUUAAAGGGCGACGUGCUGUAAAUGUAA